rnacentral:ncRNA from 1 species
AAGCCAAUGAUUAAAAGAUGAGUAAAUAUCAAAAGCUUUCUAGAGAGUCGUGGGGUGGUGCAACACGAUAAGUGGUGAUAUUGAAGUAUGGUCUUUGUAUAAUCUUAACUUCUGAACUUUGGUUAGGAAGUUAUGGGUACGCCCAUUAACGCGUAGGAGUAUCGCCGUUUGGCCGUACUUUUUGAGGCAUCAUAGCUUGCGUUAUGAUGUAAAUUUAGGUGGUACCGCGAUUAUAUCGUCCUAUGG